AGAAUUGAGUAGAGAUAGGCUUCAUCUUCAUCUCCUUCCUCCUACUUCAUGUCAAAAAUUCAAAUCCACCUACAAGCUUCGUUUCUCGUCCUAUUCGCGUGAUUCUUGCGGCAACGGAACGAGAGAGAGAUUCGCUACUCAUCUAACUCAUCAAUUUAAGCUUGUAGAUUCUUCGUUUGAUAUCGGAAUUGAGCGAUUUUAGCGGCGAUGGAAUGAGGGAAGGAUUUCCUACUGAUCUAGACUAACAUCUGAAGACUUGACGAGACGACCACCAAUGGAACCCGAAACUUAUGGAACGCGAGAUCGCUAGGUAUUAUCGAAGAUUAUGGAUAGCAAGCGUGUGUUUUUCAGGUACCUAGAUUCUAGACGUCGCUAGAAGUUCGUCUUUAACCGGAAGUUCCUUUGGCUAUGUACAGCCCCGACUUCCGUAGAUGCUGCAGUAGUAUGAUGUCUGACCAGUGUCGUGGCCUAUUACAGCAGUGAAAUUUUAUAUGGUUUAUAAUUAAUGUCUGUUGUGUAUAUGAGGUCUGGCUACAAUAGUUAUCACGGAGGUAAAUUCCCGUGAUGUAACUUUGACACUAGUGGUAUAUGCCGGGUUAGUACGUACAAGGUACGGAAACGAUAGACCCGAGCAAGUUGUAAUGUUUUACCAGUGCAAAUAAAUGUGUCUUUGUUAAA